CCAGCUUCACAGUGCUGCGCUUUGACCUGUUGCACCAUCAGGGAGGGAACUCGUUGGAUUUUUAAAAUGCAGACCCAUACCGUGUGAGUUGACGCACUUGCAGUUCUUGGAUUGUGCCAUUUAUCUUGUGAUGCUUUGUGGUUGUGACUGUCCCCUCUUUCAUAAGUGCCACCUCUUCCCUUCUGCCUCAAAACCUGGAAAAAUUAGAUUCCUUAAAAAUGCCCUUUAGCCCAAGGGGGCUCUCCUGGUGCUCGCAAAGCUCUGACCCAGCCCUCGCCACACUCUACGGCAUUACUUUGUGUUUUCAUUACUGAGGAAAAGCAUUCUUUCUCCUUGGUAAUCCUAACACUUGGCCGCUAGGUCCUUUUGCCAUAGAUUAAGUGAAGCUUAGCAUUUCAAUUCACCGAGUCAGUGUCAUGCUGGUCUUUGCUGUUCUUUUUUUCUUUCCACAUAUAUUUUUAAUAUUCAAAAAGUAUUUUUUUAAAGAAGGUGUCAUAUAAGGUCACUGUCUUCAUGGUGUUUCAGCUCCAGUUCACCUGGGUCUAAAACGAGCGCUUUAAGAUUUAGGAUUGCGCGCUUCCCAUCAAGAGCUUCAUUGAGGUAUAAUUGACACACACCGUUCUGUAAGUUGAACGUGUGCACGUUUGUACUGUGAAAUGAUCGCCACGACACGUGGAUUUAGGCCCUCCCUGGUGGCGCAGCGCUGAGAAGC